CAAACCAGUGGAUUUUCCUCUCUGACUUGUGAGUGCUUUCAGUUGAUGUUCCUUCAGCUCUCCAGUUGCUGACACCACCUGCCAC
rnacentral:lncRNA from 1 species